UAAUGAUGCACGGUUUAGUCACACCCACCGGUCCGUUAUGAGAGCCAAUCCGCCCACCCAACAUGUAAAAAUGCGUUAAAGAUAUACUGAAAGCCCCCC